rnacentral:rRNA from 1 species
UACGGAGGGGGCUAGCGUUAUUCGGAAUUAUUGGGCGUAAAGGGCGCGUAGGCGGCCCGGUAAGUCAAAGGUGAAAUCCCUCGGCUCAACUGAGGAACUGCCUUUGAAACUGUCGGGCUUGAGGCCGGGAGGGGGUAGCGGAAUUCCCAGUGUAGCGGUGAAAUGCGUAGAUAUUGGGAGGAACACCGGUGGCGAAGGCGGCUACCUGGACCGGUUCUGACGCUGAUGCGCCGAAAGCGUGGGAGCAACAGG